UACGAAGGGGGCUAGCGUUGUUCGGAAUUACUGGGCGUAAAGGGCGCGUAGGCGGCGAUACAAGUUAGGCGUGAAAGCCCUGGGCUCAACCCGGGAAUUGCGCUUGAUACUGUAUUGCUUGAGUUCGGGAGAGGUGAGUGGAAUUCCCAGUGUAGAGGUGAAAUUCGUAGAUAUUGGGAAGAACACCGGUGGCGAAGGCGGCUCACUGGACCGACACUGACGCUGAGGCGCGAAAGCGUGGGGAGCAAACAGG
rnacentral:ncRNA from 2 species